AUGGACUUCGUCGAGGGCUUGCCCAAGUCCGAAGGGUAUGACACAAUCAUGGUGGUUGUCGACCGCUUCACCAAGCUUGCACACUUUGUGCCCCUGCGACACCCAUUCACGGCGACACGAGUGGCAAGAGUGUUCUGGGACAACAUCGUCAAGCUGCACGGCAUCCCCUCCUCCAUCGUCUCCGACCGCGACAAAGUGUUCACCAGCGUGCUUUGGCGGGAACUGCUAGCCAGCGCGGGCACCAAGCUCCUCUACUCCACUGCCUAUCACCCCCAGACGGACGGACAAAGCGAGCGCAUGAACCAGUGCAUGGAGAUGUACUUGCGCUGCGCUGUUCACGACACUCCCACGCAAUGGUGUCACUGGCUGCCCUCUGCAGAAUUCUGGUACAACUCCUCUUUCCACUCUUCUCUGGGUUGCUCUCCGUUCAAGGCUCUGUAUGGGGUGGAUGCCAACGAGGGCAGCAUGGCAACAUGGCCGGCAACACAAGCAUCAUUGCCGGAAGGGGAGCAGUGGGAUUGGGCACUGCACAAGGAAAACUUGCAGGCACAGUUGACCCGGGCGCAACAGAAGUACAAAAAGUUUGCAGACAGAAACCGCACUGAGCGCGUCUUUCAGGUUGGGGAGCAAGUACUGCUGAAACUGCAACCCUAUGUGCAGAAAUCGGUGGCCAGCCGCCCGUGCGCCAAGCUGGCGUUCAAGUUCUUCGGACCAUUCACCAUCAGCGCCAAAAUUGGUCCCUCGGCAUACAAGCUGGAGCUGCCGCCCGACAGUCGCAUUCACCCUGUGUUCCAUGUGUCCCAGCUGAAGCCGUUCACACCCAAUUAUACACCAGUGUUCUCCGAACUGCCUGCAACCGUCGACUUAUCAGCAGUGGACUCUAACCCAGUUCAGAUUUUGGAUCGGAGGAUGAUGAAGAGAGGAGACGCACCAGUGGUUCAGGUGCAGGUGGCAUGGAACACAACUCCUCUGUCGACAACCUGGGAAGACUAUGAAGUUCUUCGACGUCGCUAUCCACAGUCACCAAUCUGGGAAGACAGUAACUCCGAAGAAGGGGCCGUUUCUCAAGGCGGGGAGAAUGUCACACCGGUGCUGCAUACCACCGUGUGA
rnacentral:rRNA from 1 species